rnacentral:lncRNA from 1 species
CCAUCGAGAGAGAGAACGAGCUGGAGAUCACGUAGUUGCGAUCUUCGCCUAGGAAAAAAAAAAGAGAUCAACUCACCGAUGAUCUCCGUUAAGGAUGAAAGAUCACCCAACAAUGAUCUCGAUGGGAAGAAGAAGAUAAAAAAAAAAGAAGAGGGAGGGAAAGGGGCCGAGAAAGGAGAAAAGAGGGAAAAACUCACGGUGGGCAACUGCAAGCGGGGAAAAAAGAAGGAAUAAGAAGAGGGAAGAGGAGGAAAAGAAAAAAAGAAGAAUAUGAGAGGAAAGGAAGAGAGGGAGGCGCACUAAUACCCAUUGUAGCUUGUGUCGGAAGAGAGAGGUAUAUGUGCGAGUGGCGUGGGCUGCGAACACGAAAAGAAGAGGGAGUAUGUGUGAGCAGUGCAGGCCACAAGCGUAGGAAAAGUAUGCCCACGAGCAGAGGAAAAGGAAGGAUUUGCAUGCAGUUCUACUUGCACAUGCGAGAAGAGUAGUGGUGAUCCACGAGUGAGGGAG